GUUAAGGUGGCAGAGCCCGGUAAUUGCAAAAGGCCUAAGCCCUUUCAACAGAAGUUCAAAUCCUCUCCUCAACU
rnacentral:tRNA from 1 species